CCCGCGAACAUGUCUGUAAAAAUAAAAGGGGUUGUGUUGGGCCUUGUUGCCAUGAUGCUCCCCCAUGGGGGGGGCAGUGUGGAUGGGGGCGGUGGACUUGUUCCAUCCUCUUCUGUGCACUGUCCUCCCAACAGAACAAACCCCCGGCGUAAAAUGCGCCAAGGAAUCCUAAAUGAAAAGAGAAGGUAACCAGCACCCUAGCGUGCCGGGAACGGAAUUCGCAAGGGUGGCUGGUUUCCUUGUUUGAAAACUAAAUGACUCUCGGCAACGGAUAUCUUGGCUCUCGCAUCGAUGAAGAACGUAGCGAAAUGCGAUACUUGGUGUGAAUUGCAGAAUCCCGUGAACCAUCGAGUUUUUGAACGCAAGUUGCGCCCAAAGCCUUCGGGCCGAGGGCACGUCUGCCUGGGUGUCAUGUACCGUUGCCCCAUCCAACUCCCUCUGUGGGGAGAUCGGGCUAGGGGCGGAAAAUGGUCUCCCGUGCGCCCCCGCUCGCGGUUGGCCAAAAUUUGAGUCGUUGGUGAUAGUGCCACGGCAAUCGGUGGUUGAUAAGACCUUCGCAAAAUGUCGUGGACGAGCCAACAUAAGGCUUAUAGACCCUGUUCACUCCCAACACCCACCCCAGUCAGGCGGAUACCCGCGAUAUUAAGCUUUCAUAAGGGGGGAAAGGAAAUUCCACGAUCCCCUAAUACGGGGAGGAACGGAAAACCCGCUGAAAUCGGCCCCUCGCGCUGAUGUAUUUGAAAGCUCCUAAUGGGGACGGUCCAUUCCUGAAGGGGCCGGAAGGAGAACCCUUGUUGACCUGUCAUCCAGGGUUUUAAUUGGUUGU
rnacentral:rRNA from 1 species